AUUUAUUAAAGAUCUUCUGCAGGUGCCUUGGAGGAAUUUUGACCAACUUCCGGGAGAUGCUGCUUGUUUUGACCUCAAGGAAACAACUAUAAUAUGUGUCCAAGCCAUCAAGAUUGGAAAAGAAAAUAAAAAGAGGGAAGAGUAGAGACCAUCGGUAGAGCUGAUUUAUAUUAGCUGCAGAAGUGGUCCGAUCAUCGAAACGGACGCAACCACCUUUUCAGAGCCAAAAUUGGGAAUUGGCCAC